rfam:Schistosoma curassoni strain Dakar, Senegal genome assembly, scaffold: SCTD_scaffold0000046
AUCCAGCUGAAAAAUCCAAAAUAGAACGAAGUGCGCAUCCUGGAU